rnacentral:rRNA from 1 species
GCCGCGAAAAUGGAUGGUGCUUGAGUGUAUGUCACCGAUGUUCAAUCCUUGUUGUUGCACGAUGCAGUUUGCUACGAUGCAUUUGGCGUAAGCCUGAGUGAUCUUGGUGGUGGCAGCAAAUGUCCAAAUCAGAGCUUGGGAGACCGAAGUGGAGAAUGGGUUCAUGCGGCAAUCAGUUGGACAUGAAUCAGUCGAUCAUUGAAGCCAGG